rnacentral:rRNA from 1 species
GACGAACGCUGGCGGCGUGCUUAACACAUGCAAGUCGAACGAAGUGGCGAACGGGUGAGUAACGCGUAAUCAACCUGCCCUUCAGAGGGGGACAACAGUGGGAAACGACUGCUAAUACCGCAUACUGAAGGAGGGGAUUGAGUCUGAUUGGCUAGUUGGUGGGGUAACGGCCCACCAAGGCGAUGAUCAGUAGCCGGUCUGAGAGGAUGAACGGCCACAGUGGGACUGAGACACGGCCCAGACUCCUACGGGAGGCAGCAGUGGGGAAUCUUCCGCAAUGGGCGCAAGCCUGACGGAGCAACGCCGCGUGAAUGAAGAAGGUUUUCGGAUCGUAAAGCUCUGUUGUAAGAGAGCGGUAUCUUACCAGAAAGCCACGGCUAACUACGUGCCAGCAGCCGCGGUAAUAC